UCAUUUCAGUUCACAGAUUCAUUAACAGAAUACCAGAGCAAUGUAUUGCAAACUGUGGUUUUCAAUUUAAAAAAAAAAAACAUCAAUUCAAAUUCCUCAGUCAAAGGUGCAGAAGACGCAGGACGUUCUCCUCUGGACUGUAGCAGACAUGUCGACAGCACAAUUCAGUACAAUGGCCCACCAUGUGAUUUUUGAGAGCAACCAGAGACCUCCAUGUAGACAGAGGAGGUGUCGGAUACAAGCAGCUGGAGCUUCACUUAUGCAACUUUCAGCUGCAGAGAGCAGGAGGAGCUGCAGGAGGAGAGAGGCUGAUGGAAGAAGCAGGCCAGCGUGUUAGCAGGUUUCUCUCUGCGGGUGUGGGCUCGCGGCUCUGGGGCAGGUGCUGACUGAGAGGCUGUUGGGUAAAUGAUGGUGUUCCACCUGCCCUCCGUGUGUGCUGGUAGCCACCUGCCGGUUACGACUGGCUGUCUCGUAGGGAUCAAUGCACACAUACCACAUGUCAUCAAGACAACGUUUCAUAAUAGUGACUAACAGCAGGAAGGGCCACCUUUAAGAGCGCGCUACAAAACGUCACCUGUGCAUCUCGUCACGUUGCUGUUUGGACUGAAAGUUUCCAAGUUGAGAAAACAAGAAUGCCAAGAAUGUGGCUGGAUGAAAUAACAGCAGUGGCACUAGUGCCUAAGCAGGCCAACAGACUUUCAGAUUGAUGGCCACAGCACAGCGAGGACGUCCCUCUGGCUGGAAAAGACACAGCAGUCGGAGUUCUGCUAAUGAGAGUCUCAAAGACACCGUGAGAAAUCACUUCUCCGGAUAUAAAGGGGCCAGACGUGGAAUCUCCAUUCACAAUCUCAAUGACAUUUAAAAAGUGCAGAAGGAUCUGCAGAAGAGCAGCAGCAGCUGAAGCAGUGUGAAAUGCUCUGAUAGCCCGGGCUCGUGAAAUAGGGCUAACCCAUUCUGGCACAUUGGAAAAGAGCGGAGGACAAAAGCUCAGUCUAAUGGGACAUGUCUCAGCAUGUGAGAGAGGGGAUGCAGUUACACAGUCAUCAGACAGACAUAGUGAAGAACAAGAGGGUGUGGGCCCUGAUGAAAAAUACAUUUGCUCUAAGACAUUCAAUCAUCAGUUAUUCUGUGAUUCUAAUCAUUCUAAUGUCCGUGUAGAAAGUGGUCAUGCAUUUUCUUUAGGCGUCAGAGAUCUAAACAACUCUUUCUAAGUCAUCCUAAUGGUAAGUGGAAUAUUAAAUGUGAUGGUUUAACAGCAAGGGCAAACUAAAUAAUAAAAUAUGGCUGAAACGAAAUAAGACCUCAAAGUGACAAACUUUGAGGUCAACACUUCAAUAUCAACACUUACUACUACUAUUUGUUAUUUGUGUAUGAAGUAAAAAACAGUCAAAUCUGUUACUUAAAUAUACUCAAAUAUCCAAUAAACAU